UGCGUAGGUGGCCUUUUAAGUUGGAUGUGAAAUCCCCGGGCUUAACUUGGGUGGUGCAUCUAAUACUGGAGGGCUAGAGUGCAGGAGAGGGAAGCGGAAUUCCUAGUGUAGCGGUGAAAUGCGUAGAUAUUAGGAGGAACACCAGUGGCGAAGGCGGCUUUCUGGACUGUAACUGACACUGAGGCACGAAAGCGUGGGGAGCAAACA
rnacentral:rRNA from 1 species